GUGAAGGCUGGAUCGCUGCUUGGUGGUGGAGGUUGCUGACCAAAUAUCAUCUCACAGCUCAUAUCUUCAAAAUCUGCAAACAGAAAGGCCAUGGAAGGAUGAUAAGCUCAGACAUGACCAUUUUUAAAUAAAAAAUGGUGCCUUUGCUGGUUUGUCUCGAGAUUUUGUCCCCUUUUCCUUUUUGGGGACAAGCUUUAUAAUAUAAAGAAUUGAGUUAUAUAUUUAGCCGUAAUGCAUUACAUGGUGGAAAUUUCAAAUAAGCUAUGAUGGGCUAUUUUCUGCAUUAAGUAGGCUUAUGGAUGGGACCCUCCAUUUAAUGGGUUUUGAUAUUUGUACAAAUUACACCCCCUUACAACAGGGGGCUGCGUCAAUAAAAAAAGGCAGGGGGCUGUCAGUCACCAUGUAAACUAUGCUAUAGCUCUAGCGUGGUUCUUUUUGGACAAUGCUAUUUGUACACUUUUUGUGUACAUGAUUGUUUACACCCCUCACAUAGAGGGGGGUCGCAUAUAAUUUAUUAUGCGUGGGCUUACACCAAAAGUGUACAAAUAGAGAGUAAUCCUCCUUCUUCGCCUUUGUCCUUCCAUGUCUUCAAUCGGAAAAACUAUUUUUCUAUGGAAAAAUUAAGGCUUGAUUGA